UUCUGCGGCGCUGCCGGUGCAGUAGCCCAAAGACCCAUGACCCAGCCUCGCCCCUCCGGAAGCGGCCGCGCGGCCCGGCCCGGGUGGCCUCGCGUUGCUAGGCCGGGGUCUGUGUGUCCUGCAGCCCGCGGUCGCUCAGGCUUGGACAGCCCCUAGUCCUGGCUCUUGUUAGCACCAUCAUCUGGCCUAGGGGCAUUGGAUCCCCUUUGAGCCAUUGGCCUUGUGGCUGCUCCCAUGUCGUUUCUCAUAAGCAGCAUGGACUGGAAAGGAGUCGAAAGAUUGGGGACUGGUGAUAACACAUUAACACAUCUUUACAGUGGCUGCCCAAGCUGUUGCGUGGUGCUAAGUAGUACAACACCGGGUAAAUCACGAAUGCCAAGUGCAGCCAGAAUAGGUUAACCAGUGCGGCUGCUGCAGUGCCUAGCAUCUCUCCUGGCGGGGAGGGGAGUAACAGUUCCAGCCUAAGUAGAUGGUUGAAUGAGCAACACAACUGGAGUUUUAAUUGCUGAUAGCACUCCCUCGUAGAUGACAAUUCUCUUCAAUUGGGGAGCAACCACUGAAGUGCCUUCCCUUUUUUCAUCAUUCCCUGCAAUCCUGAUGAGCUCUUGGAAGUGAUGAGUUUGGACUGUUCCUCGCUGGGAAGGAGGAGAGUCUCCGUUCCAGCGGCCACCCUUGUAAGUGAUUCCUGUUUGCAAGUUACGGGCCGUUGCAGUCACUGGGUGAGAUAAUCCUCUAGCUCGUUGUUGAUACUGUAUUGUGAAUUGUGCGGUUUGGGCAAAGUUUGUACUUUUCUCUUUGCCUCUGCAUUUAGGUUUUAUCCUGUUCUACUGCAGAAGCAAUCUGACUUGGAAGCACUAUGUUAGUGUGUCGUUAUUUGAUUGAAAUACCUUUCCUGGUUAUAUUCCUGAUGGACUUUUUUUAAUGUUUUGGGGAUGCACAGGGGUUAAAAGGCACAUCUGUCUUUCAGAGGAGGAGAAGUAAAGAUUUUUAUCACAAACGCAAGAAGGGACCGUGGACCCUUGGUUUUGAUGCUGAGAGCAAGGAACAGCGACCCAACAUCUGUCUGGAUAAGGCAGAUAUUUUGCAUGUCAAACAAACUAAAUCAUGAUGCCUCAUCAACUAAAAGGUGAACCCAAAUGCAAUUUUCAUCCUCAUGCAGGUAAAACUUUGUCAAAUUUGGCCGGCUGCUAAACUACUUUUUAACCUUUACUUUUAAAAAUACGGAAGCUACAGCCUGCGUUAGGGGGAGGAACUGUUAUCAGGUGUCUGUGAGGUACAACCGAGAAGCGGUUUGGUCGCUCCUGCACUUCCACUGUAGGUCACAAGAUGGGGUACGAAUACUCAGAAAGAUGAUUGUCCAAGUAACACAGCCAGUAGUGAAACACCAUCUUAACACCGUCUUUUGCUGAGGCACUAAUAAUUCUUGCUAGCACACAAACAGAAUUUACUAGAGGUAGUAAUUAUUAAAUGUUACUUUUCAGGAGUCAUAUUCAGAAAGGUUAUAAGAGGUAUGAGUAAAUUUAGGUGUGCAAUUUCAGUAACUUACAGCUUGUGCUGUUGAUAGUGAGGAUUGACUUCCUUACUGCAGCCUCUACUCCUCCAGCAAUCACAGCUACCAGAUCCAUGAGGAGGGAUACAGAAGCAUUUUUCACAACUGAAGCAUUCUAUAGAUGACACAUUUAUUUUUAAGCAGGAAAUACUGAGUGAGUGAUGGUGUUCUCCUGGGCCUGUGCUUUGCCAGAUGCACACUGAUUCAUUGGUGGCUGUUGCUCACUAUACCUGUAAUUGGGAACUGCCAUUGGUUUUGGCUUAAAGAGAACAAUUCCAGAGCAUGUGCCCAGUCAGCCACCAGACAGUUUUUGAGGCGACAAAUUGUUUUAUCACUUUUUGCCUAACUUAAGUCUUGUAUCUUAAUAAGGAAUUCCAGUCCCUCUUGUUGUAGAUUCCCAGUUGUGGAUUAGCAGGCCAUUUUCACUAGCACUGAUUAUUUCAAAAGCAGAUCAAGGGACACUGAAACCAUGUGUCUCAAAAUUUUAUAGCACAGAAUCAUUUAGGUUGGAAAAGACCCUUAAGAUUAUCAAGUCCAACUGUCAACCCAGCACUGUCAUGUAUAUCCCAAGAAGAGCCUCUGGUCUUGCAAAAUAAUGCCAAACAGUUCUACCCACCUUUCUCUCUAUUUCUUUAGUACAGGUAGGGAUUGGAGAGUUUAAAUCCUUUUUCUCAUCUAAGUGGGUAACAGUGUAAAAAAGGCUGAAAACAAACACCAGUUCAGAAGAUGAUUCAGAUGUAUAAACCACUCUUUCUGAUAAAUCCAUCGAAUGAAGUUCUUUGGAAAAGGGUGAUGUAGAAAGCCCAAGUUCUAACCCCAGCUGGUAGGUGCAGUAAACCAGUGGUAUGUUGCUCCUGUGGAUUUCCUCAUACUGUACUUGAGCUUCAGUUGCACCAAAUGUAAAAGAUCAAAAGUGACAGUGAAGUUAUUCUGAGCAUUUGACUUGCUAAGCAUUGCCUGACUGCAGCAGCAAGGGAUUACAAGCUGUAACCUUAGCCAUGUGAAGCUCAGGUUAUCUUCUGAACACAACAUUCAUUACAAUUAAACAGCACCUGAUUAGCAUCUUGGGGCAGCACCUUAGCAGGCUGUAAGUGAGAAGCAAGAGAUAAGGGUGAUAAAAUUCAUGGUUGGUCCCAGUUCUAUUCAUUCUGUGUGACAGUGACAAUGUCAGUACAUGUCCCUUUACAAAUGACACAGAGUUAUAAAAUGAUCAAAAUAGUGAAGAUGAAAAAAGUGGGAAAAGACCUGGCAGCACUGGGACUGGAGGG